AACGGAGGAGGCGAGCGUUAUCCGGAUUAACUGGGCGUAAAGCGCGCGCAGGCGGUUCCGGAAGUUGGGCGUGAAAUCCCCUGGCUUAACUAGGAGGGGUCGUCCGAUACUACCGGGCUAGAGAGUGGUAGAGGAAGAUGGAAUUCCCGGUGUAGUGGUGAAAUGCGUAGAUAUCGGGAGGAACACCAGUGGCGAAAGCGAUCUUCGGGACCAUUUCUGACGCUCAGACGCGAAAGCUAGGGUAUUAAACGCG
rnacentral:rRNA from 1 species